rnacentral:lncRNA from 15 species
GGUCAUGAUCUGGCAGAAACUGGGCAUCCCAGUAAAAGUUAACUAUGAUGCGUUAAUAUUCAAACAGACAGAAAAGGAAUUCCUCACAUUGCAUGUAUACCUGGUCCCACCCGAUGAGGAUAUACAAGAGAAAGUGAAGAGGAACGAGGCAUCUUAUGGAUCAGUUUUAAUCCCGAAACCAGGCCCAAAAAAGUCUCUUCAAAUACAAGAUCAUUUCUUCCUCACAACAGACGUGGACACUAGUGAAAUAAGCCCGACAAAAUUAAAGCUCAGAUAUGAGAGGAGAGAUUACUUUGAGGUGUUCAUCAGAAAUGCAGAGAGCGACUUCAGACUAAAACUUGAAAGUAAACAAAAAAAAAUUAUUCAAGAGGACGCUGUCUGGACCUGCACAAUCAGAAAAGGGGACUACCAACAUUCAAGCACUGAUCAUGAACAAGGUAAGAAAAGACAUUUAAUAUGCUUUGUUAAUACUGCUUCAAACUUUU